GAUGAACGCUAGCUACAGGCUUAACACAUGCAAGUCGCGGGACCGGCGCACGGGUGCGUAAUGCGUAUCCAACCUUCCCUUCACCACCGGAUAACCCGGAGAAAGUCGGACUAAUACCGUAUGGUGACGGAUGUCGAUGCGUUCGAGUCGCUUGACGGAGGGGGAACGGCCCACCGUGGCUACGGUCGGUAGGGGUGCGGAGUGUAAGGUCCCCCACACUGGAACUGAGACACGGACCAGACUCCUAGGGGAGGCAGGAGUGAGUAAUAUUGGGGAGUGGGCGUAGACCUGAACCAGCCAAGUAGCGUGCAGGACGACGGCCUAUGGGUUGUAAACUGCUUUUAUGCGGGGAUAGGUACCGCAUGAAUAAGGACCGGCUAAUUCCGUGCCAGCAGCCGCGGUAAUAC
rnacentral:rRNA from 1 species